rnacentral:lncRNA from 1 species
CAGGCCUUGCCCAAAGCUCUUUGAGAUGUCAACUAAAGGAACAUGGCCUCCUCAUCUCUAAAUACACCUGGCUAACAGUAACUAUCAAUGGCACGCCCGGAAGCUAUGCUGUCAUUCUGAAUAGAUCUGUUUGACUUAUCACUUAAAAGUAAGACUCAGAUAACUGAAAUGACCUGAAGAGAUGGUAUUUCAGAAUAUUUGGGUGACCACAUUUAUUUGUUAUGUGUUUUCACACAUUAAAACAGAAAUUCAGAUUUUAAUUAACCCAGUGAAUUUGCCUGAAAAUAUGCUCCCUGGAACACAACUAAGUCGUGCUUAUGAUAAAGAUGUGGCUGGAAAGGGAGAUGUCUACCGUUUUCUGAAUAAAACAUAAGAUUUUGCCAUCGAUGCAAGUUCUGGUGUAAUCACUGCUACCAAAAUUUUUAAUUAUGAAACAGAUCCAAUAAGGUUUCUUCUGAUUGUUGAUACUGGGAGGCUCUAUAGACAUGUUUUGACCAUUAAUAUUAUUGAUGUUCCCGAAUCUCCAAACUGUACUGCUGAUCCCAAAUUUUCUUCAGGCACAGUUGGAGAGAAUGAAGAAACAAAAUCAUAUGGGAUUGCAAGAGUUGGGUCUGCUGGAUUUCUUUUUAAAGGGAGACAUGAGUAAUUUUACAACAUGGAGAAUCCAUUUGAUGAGGAGGCUGAAGACAAAUAAAGUAGUACACCAUUGAGACACAGUUAUCUGGACCAAAGAAAGGAGCAAACUCUUUUGGAACGGAUCCUAUAAGUGAUGUUGUUAGAUUAAGAGGUGAAGAUCCCCUGGAUUUGGAUACUGGAUAUCAUGCCAUUUCCUUUGGAUUCUAUUAAUGUGACUGAGAAGAAAUCUGUUGGAGAAAUUAUAGCAAGAGUAAAAGCAACAGAUCGAGAUGAAGAUAGCAGUAUCAUUUAUUCCUUUAAGACUCAGCAGAAAAUGUUUUGUUUGGACCCCUAAGCUGAGCCUUUCAUCACGUGGCUGAGUAUACAGACCUGUUCUAAGAGUCAGAGAAGCUGAAAGAAGAUCCAGCAGUAGGUCAAGCAAUUUCAGAUUUAGCUGAAGCUAGUUCACACCAACAGUAACACAGCAGAUCAACAAAAACAUGGUCACAGGAACAAUCACUCUUCUUCAGCCUUUGAAUCUUGACAACCCAAGUAACUCCAAAAUCUACUCUUUGGAAACUGAGGCAACAGAUAAUGGGAAUAAUACCAGCAGCUAUACGUUUACAGUUUUUGUGGAGAAUGUAGAUGAUCCUAUUUCCUGUGAUCCAAGUUUUUCAACAGGAGCAGUCUUCCAAAAUUAUAGUAAACUUUAAAAAGAUACACGUGGAUCUCAAGAAGGUCAUUUUGACCCGAUUUCUACUACAAGCUUGGCUGAACCAGCAUAAACUGCUAGAGCAGUACCAAGAUCGGGAUGUCUUCCUCUUCCAUCAUCUGGGCUGUGGGCCUUGGGACAUAAGAGAAGCGAGGACAAGAAGUCACUUUCUGUUUAAAGUAGGGCAACUCUGUGGGUCUCUGUGACCAAGAAUUACCAAAGACAUUGACAUGAUUUUCAAGCUGCUGAUUUGACACACACAUAUUCAAUUCAUUUACUGGGUUUAAUUAUCCAGUUGCUAUAAUUAACCAGAACAAAUCACUAAAUUAGAGAAUCUGCCUACACAUGUUCAGUUUGAAACAAAGGUUCAAAAUAAGCAAGUCCUAGUCGCACCAAAGUUGUUCUAUAACAUCCUUAGAAAGUCCUGUAAAGAGACCCUUACAGGACUACCCAGUCUAGAUUGUGAUACAAUAUUCACUGGAUUUGAUAUCCAAGAUUCAGCUGCACAGUAAACAUUAAGCCUUUUUUCUUUUAAAAAAAAGUAUUCGUAGAAUCACAUAACAGGUAAAGAAACUAUCAGUAGUCUAAAUGUGCAUUUAUGUUAUUUGAUUUUGGGAUUACACAGAAUCAUAGUUGGUAGCAUUGGAAGGAGGAUGAGGGGCGAUGGUUGGAAAAAGGCAAGUAGCAUUUGUUGAGCAUUUGAGAGAUGUGUUAUGUAUAGUAUUCUAUUUAAUCUCUAAAACUACUCUAAGAUUGGAGAAGUACUUUAUCCCCAUUGUACAGGUGAGAAUAGUGAUGGAGCAGGAAUUCAAGUGCAUUUCUUCCUGUCUUCACAGGCUGUGCUCUACUUUUUUGUACAUGAUUGUGAAAGGAGACAAAAAGCUUCAAUAUCCUAAUAUAAAAGAAUAAAAGUAGAAAUCAUAUCUUAGUGGCCAUUGACUUUGAGCAAUUAUAUCCCAUUCUAUACAGUAGCCCAAAGUUUAAAGGUAGGAAUAUCAACCUGAAUUAUGAUGGCUCUUUUAAAUGUUGAUGUUAAUGGGAGUAAGUAUUUGUAGGGGUUUUUUGUUUCUCUGAAACAAAUAUGAAGAAGAUCAUUUUAAGGAAAAUACAGCAUGGUAAUUUACGGUACCAGCAUGAAGCAAGAAGUGAAAGAAAGACAUUUGAAUUUAAAUUAUUGUUCAUGAUUGUGUAAUUGUAUAGGUGUUUCAGUGUCUGUUCCUGAAAACAUUCCUGCAUCUACUUUUAUAUAUAUGAUUCUUUCAAGAGAUCCAGAUCUAGGACAGGAAGUUGAAGUAAGUUUUUUUAUUUUCAUCUAUUUAUUUUUGCCCAACUUGGAUGAGAAAAAAAACCCAAAAGAGUGCUCAAUUUUUAAUGCACAAAAUAUUAUUUUGCCAGGCUGUUAAUUAAAGUAUUCUUUAUGUGUAUGGUAGUCACUGAAGUGAGAGAGGAGACUUAAACCUUUGGGACUAGUAACAUAGAAUUAAAAUGCUCUGGCUUCAAAAUGAAAGAAACAGAUUUCAAAUGGUCUGAAAGCAUUGUGAAAAACUAGAGCUUACAUCUAUUGGCAUUUAUCUGAUGACAUUUACGAGCAUGAAUAGAAUGUUCUUUCAUUGUUCAUUGCCUUUUAUUCAUCCCAAUCAGGCAUAUUUUCUUUAUUAUACAUACAAUGUGAGUAAAGGAUAUUUUAGGCCUUCAUAUUAAUUCUGGUUUUAGCAAUAAUUCAUAAAGAGGAGAGAAUAAAUUUUAGGUGACAAAAUGGUUACAGCUUAAGUGGGGGUAAAGAAGAAAUUUAAGAUAAUUCAUCACUGUGUAUUUUCUCAGAAAUUUUUCUGGUAUACAUAUGACCUUUAAUCUAAUUAUAUUUGUAAGAAAAAAAUUGUUUUCUUGAUGAUGCAAUAUAUCAUAAAUCUGAUUAAUACACUGGAAUACUCUGCCCGAAAUUUAGUGAGUCAAAUUCUCCAUAGAAGAGACUAACUUUUUUUUCUGUUUGUUCAUGCUUGCUAUAAAGAUACACAUAAAUAUCACUUGGGAAUAUGGUUGAAACUAAAGUUUGGGAGAAAGCUCUGUGGAGAAUUUAGUCUAUAUGUAAUUUUUCUGGUUACCUGAUUAUAAUGAGAUAUUGAUUAAUCCACUUGAUUACAUUUUUUGCUCAUGUGAAUUUCAGACUGAGGACAGAUUACAACACAGGAACAAUGUAAUUCCUGGCAUAUCAGGUUCAGCUCAUCUAUUUGUGUGAAUGUGUUAGUGUGUGUGUUGGGAGGAUAGAGUUAGGAUAUUGGGGUACGUGGGUGUGUGCAUUUAAACUAGAAUAUGUCCAUAUGUGUGAAGGAUGGGUGUCUACAAAAGUAUCCAUUAUAAUUAUGUGCUUACAUGCAUAGUUUCCAUUACCAAAAAUUAAUGUAAUAUCUAGAUUUUAUUGUAAAAGUCAUUAGGAAAGAGAAAACAAACAUUUGGAAAAUGAUGAUGUUUAACAAAUCUAAAACCAUAAUAAUGGGGGAAAACAAAGAGAUUAUUUUCAUAAGGACAUUUAAGAGGAUUUUAGUCUAAUAUAAGCCAACUUUUGUUGUUCACUUACAGGCAAAUGAAAGAUGGUUAAUAUGACCAUCAAAAUGGCUAUUAUGCAUUCUUUGGAAAUGGCAUUGGGUAUCAGAUCUUCCAGGUUUUAUUGCAGGGUUUUUUUGAGCUGGAAUCUGGAUGUGAGUGUUUAUAAUAUAAUUUCUUUAUGAAAUCCUUUUCAAAAUCUUUAAUAUUUGUCUUGAUAACAAUGGAGAGAAACAUGCCGAUGCCCAUAAAAAUAAUAGCUUUGUCCAAGGCAAUAUUUUAUUUUUGCCAUGCAGAAAAUCAAUUCAGAGAUGGAAUCAAACGGCUUCUUCCAAAUAAUUCAGUUCAUGUGCCUCCUUUAGAUAUACUUCCUGAGUAUUCAAGAGGGAACAGCUUUUUUUUAAUAUUGGAAAAAUCUGUAAAUGCAACACUAGAAAGUAAACUAAUUAUGAAAUUAUUGAAAGCUAUUCACCAAAAAUGCUCUAAUAUUUUAGUAUAAAAUGCAUUGGAAAAAAAUACAACUAAAACGUGAAAGAAUAUAUAGAUUAUUUUUGAAGUCUGGAACUGAAAGUAAGUUCAGAUUUUAAUUUAUAGGCAGUCUUCGCAAAAUUUAUUUUGGUUUACAUCUUGCCAAAUCGUUGCAUCAAAGCUGUCAGUUCAGAAUUCAUGCUUACUCAAUAAUGUAUUAACCAUGUUUGUGUGUGUAUGUGUGUGUUGCAGUUUUUAAUAUUAAAUUCUUCAAUUAAUGCCACUGCCUACUUUGCUUUGGAUUCGCAUAAUGG